UCACCCCUCAAGCUAAGCUUGGUAUUGGGUUCUCGCCAUCAAAUUUAUUUGGAGGCGUGCCCGAAAUUUAGCGGCGAUGCAGCCGAACUCCCUAGCGCAGUGACUUUUAUUACAACGCUACAAGGAGCUUUCGACUUUUGUAUCUGCCGGAUAACAACCAAAUUUUUUUAC
rnacentral:misc_RNA from 1 species